CACGUAGGGUGCGAGCGUUGUCCGGAAUUAUUGGGCGUAAAGAGCUCGUAGGCGGUGUGUCGCGUCGGCCGUGGAAAACCUGCAGCUUAACUGUGGGCUUGCGGUCGAUACGGGGCAUCACUGGAGUUCGGCAGGGGAGACUGGAAUUCCUGGUGUAGCGGUGAAAUGCGCAGACUAUCAGGAGGAACACCGGUGGGCGAAGGCGGGUCU
rnacentral:rRNA from 1 species